AGGAAGGGAGCGAAUUGGAGCUGUGUCACCUGACCGGCCCUUGAAGCUCGUCCGCGCCAUUUUCGUUACUGGGCAAGUACCAAGAGAUGAAGCAACCAAGACAGAUCUGUGCUCUUAUAAGAUGGAUAUAUUAGACAAAAGAAGUAACUGAGGCUCAAUGCACACAUACCUCGCCAGCAGCCUACACAAGGCCUCAGCAUGCUAAGUUUCAACUGAGCCCUACCACCAGCCUAGCUGUAAGGCCAAUUUGUUUAACCAUUUAAUUCUAACCUUUUAUUCUACUUCUAACUGUCUCUGAAACCAAGUCUCAAUUAAACCUACUUUCAGUAAGGAAAUGUU
rnacentral:lncRNA from 1 species